rnacentral:rRNA from 1 species
CAGCAGCCGCGGUAAUACGUAGGGUGCAAGCGUUAAUCGGAAUUACUGGGCGUAAAGCGUGCGCAGGCGGCUUGUUAAGACAGAUGUGAAAUCCCCGGGCUCAACCUGGGAACUGCAUUUGUGACUGGCAAGCUAGAGUGUGGCAGAGGGGGGUGGAAUUCCGCGUGUAGCAGUGAAAUGCGUAGAUAUGCGGAGGAACACCGAUGGCGAAGGCAGCCCCCUGGGCCAACACUGACGCUCAUGCACGAAAGCGUGGGGAGCAAACAGGAUUAGAUACCCCGGUAGUCCCUGUCUCUUAUAC